AUUCAGACAAAGAAAACAAAGAAAGGGAUAUCGAAGGAAAAGGUAUUACAACACAAUGCUAUCCUCUAGCCAGCCUAGCAGCACUGGCCUAUUCCUGGAGACAUCCCCAAAUCAGCAAUGAACAAGUAAGAUGUAACACGGCAAUGUUCUAAAGCAGCAUUGCCAAGCAAACAACAUAUACCAAGUUACUGUAGAUGCAUCACAGGGAUUUCCUCCAGCAGUGGUGUCCCAUUCCUUAUGCCAUUACUAGGUCAGCAAUUGGCAAUCAAAGUAUAACACAGAGAGGCUGAUUGGCCACUACUAGUGCCAUCAACGGGCAGAAAGCUGAACACAAUACAGAGAAAAGCCUUCUCCAUCUAACAGUCUUAAGGCCUAGUCUGAGGUUUCUUCUAAAAGAAAAUCAUCCACAAGUCAGAAAAUGAAACACCAAAGGUAAAAGAUUAC